UGAGCAAUCUGCCCUUCUCAUCGGAAUAAGCGUUGGAAACGACGUCUAAUGCCGAAUACGACCUCCUUUCGCAUGAUCGGAGGUGGAAAGCUCCGGCGGAGAAGGAUGAGCUCGCGGCCUAUCAGCUAGUUGGUGUGGGUAAUGGCCCACCAAGGCGACGAGU
rnacentral:rRNA from 1 species